AUGCGGUAGCCAAGAGCUUAACCCUGGAGACAAGACGCUUUCUCAAGAAUUUUCUGUGCAGCAAGUUCAUCCUGCAUCUGAAGUACAGACAGUCCUUGUGGUGAACAUCCUUGGAGGUGAGGUAGUUUACACUAAAGAAGGUGCAAUGCUGUCUCUAGGGAAUGGUGCAACGUGGUUGGCAACAGCAGCAAAAGACUUAAAAGCAUAUGAAGGUGUUCACUUUGGAGUCAGUGCUACCAGUGGCUGGAUCAAAGGUGUUUCUUCCUGCUUUCAUAUCAAGGAGUGCCCCAUUAUGGGUUUGAAGUGUUGAAAGGAAUCAUUCUGGGUCAGAUGGAUGAAGUGACCAGUUGGUGAAAGCACUGUUGCCAGCACUAUCUACUCCAUGUUUCCAGCUGAAGAGGGCAUACUAAUACCCUAUCCUUGGAGCAACCAAGUGAAAAUUGAUGAUUCAAAGAAAUGUCGCCUUUGUCCACCUAGCCAUCAUGGAGCUGAAGAAUCUGGGUCAGCAAAUUCUGGGCAACUACCUAGUGCAUUUU